rnacentral:rRNA from 1 species
UACGUAGGGUGCAAGCGUUGUCCGGAAUUAUUGGGCGUAAAGAGCUUGUAGGCGGUUUGUCGCGUUGUUCGUGAAAACUCACAGCUUAACUGUGGGCGUGCGGGCGAUACGGGCAGACUGGAGUACUGCAGGGGAGACUGGAAUUCCUGGUGUAGCGGUGGAAUGCGCAGAUAUCAGGAGGAACACCGGUGGCGAAGGCGGUUCUCUGGGCAUGAUCUGACGCUGAGGAGCGAAAGUGUGGGGAGCGAACAGG